rnacentral:rRNA from 1 species
AUUGAACGCUGGCGGCAGGCCUAACACAUGCAAGUCGUACGAGUGGCGGACGGGUGAGUAAUGUCUGGGAAACUGCCUGAUGGAGGGGGAUAACUACUGGAAACGGUAGCUAAUACCGCAUACCAUCGGAUGUGCCCAGAUGGGAUUAGCUAGUAGGUGGGGUAAAGGCUCACCUAGGCGACGAUCCCUAGCUGGUCUGAGAGGAUGACCAGCAACACGGGAACGGAGACAGGGUACAGACGCCUACGGGAGGUGUCAGUGGGGAAUAUGGCACAUGGGGCGAAAGCAUGAUGCAGCCAUGCCGCGUGUAUGAAGAAGGCCUGCGGGUUGUAAAGUACUUUCAGCGGGGAGGCGUUACCCGCAGAAGAAGCACCGGCUAGCGCCGGGCCAGCAGCCGCGGUAAUAC